rnacentral:rRNA from 1 species
UGAUCUCAAAUCAGGUAGGACUACCCGC